AGCGAACGCUGGCGGCAGGCCUAACACAUGCAAGUCGAACGAACUCUUCGGAGUUAGUGGCGGACGGGUGAGUAACACGUGAGUAACCUGCCCUUGACUUUGGGAUAACUUCAGGAAACUGGGGCUAAUACCGGAUAGGAGCUCCUGCUGCAUGGUGGGGGUUGGAAAGUUUCGGCGGUUGGGGAUGGACUCGCGGCUUAUCAGCUUGUUGGUGGGGUAGUGGCUUACCAAGGCUUUGACGGGUAGCCGGCCUGAGAGGGUGACCGGCCACAUUGGGACUGAGAUACGGCCCAGACUCCUACGGGAGGCAGCAGUGGGGAAUAUUGCACAAUGGGCGGAAGCCUGAUGCAGCAACGCCGCGUGCGGGAUGACGGCCUUCGGGUUGUAAACCGCUUUCGCCUGUGACGAAGCGUGAGUGACGGUAAUGGGUAAAGAAGCACCGGCUAACUACGUG
rnacentral:rRNA from 1 species